UGACUGUUUAAGUGACUUGCUGCAGAGAAUGAAUUACCACAGAUAUUACAGUGAUAUGAUUAUUUCCCCUGUAUAAGUUUGUGCUUAAUUGCAUCACUAUUUUAGAAGAGAGAUUUAACACAAAUAUCACACUGAAUGGUUUCUUCUCUAGUAUUGAUACAUCUGUGAAUAGUUAAAUGACUUGUCUAAGAGAAUAGUGUACAACAUCCCAGUAAAGUUCUCUUCUGUGAGAGUGUAUUUGUCUUUAGUUAAAUAACACCUUUCAUAUUCACCAAACAUAUUACAGUAGGUUGGUUGGUUUCUCACCUGUAUGAAAAUGUUUCAGCCUAAUUUAGCUAAAACAAUUUACAAUACAUACAACAGUGUGGAGCCUGGGGCAACUCUACAACUUACCAGCUCUAAUCAAAUAGUCUGACCCCUGCUAGCCUGGAAAAAAGAACAUUAAAUGAUGAUGAUGAUAACACUAUAUGGCUUCUGACCAGUAUGAAUACAUUUUUGACUAGUUAAUCUACUUUCAUCAGUGAAAGAUUUACCAGAGAUAUUGUAAUCAUGAUUUUCUUUUGUAUGAAUGUGUCUCAUCUGUAUCAAUAAAUGACUUGUUCCAUUGAAUGAUUUAUCAAAGAUA